rnacentral:rRNA from 1 species
UGGCUGCAGUUAAGAAUAUUCCUCAAUGGCCGAAAGGCUGAAGGAGCGACGCCGCGUGCGGGAUGAAGGGUUUCGGCUCGUAAACCGCUUUUAUUUGGGAAGAACGAUGACUGUACCAAAUGAAUAAGAGGUUGCUAACUCUGUGCCAGCAGCAGCGGUAAUACAGAGACCUCAAACGUUAUCCGGAUUUAUUGGGCGUAAAGGGUCCGCAGGCGGCUAUGUGCGUCACGGGUUAAAUGUUAGGGCUCAACUCUGACACCGCUCGUGAUACGGCAUAGCUAGAGUUCGGGAGAGGCACAUGGAAUUGCCGGUGUAGGGGUAAUAUCCGUUAAUAUCGGCAGGAACGCCAAAUGCGAAAGCAAUGUGCUGGAACGAUACUGACGCUCAGGGACGAAAGCGUGGGGAGCGAAAGGGAUUAGAUACCCCUGUAGUCCACGCCCUAAACGAUGGAUGCUAGAUAUCGGGAGUAUCGACCCUCCCGGUGUCGGUGAAAAAAGCUAACGCAUUAAGCAUCCCGCCUGGGGAGUACGGCCGCAAGGCUAAAACUCAAAGGAAUUGACGGGGACCCGCACAAGCGGUGGAGCAUGUGGUUUAAUUCGAAGAUACGCGAAGAACCUUACCUGGGCUCGAAAUGCAGCUGCAAGCCGAUGGAAACAUUGGCCGCCUUCGAGGGUGCUGUAUAGGUGCUGCAUGGUUGCCGUCAGCUCGUGUCGUGAGAUGUACCGUUAAGUCGGGAAACGAGCGCAACCCCUGUCCCAUGUUGAAUAUUCAUGGGAGACUGCCUCGGAUAACGGGGCGGAAGGCGGGGACGACGUCAAAUCAGCAUGGCUCUUACGUCCAGGGCUACACACGUACUACAAUGGUCGGGACAAUGGGUUGCCAAACCGCAAGGUGGAGCUAAUCCCAACAAACCCGGCCCCAGUUCGGAUUGAGGGCUGAAAUUCGCCCUCAUGAAGUCGGAUUCGCUAGUAACGGCACAUCAGCCAUGGUGCCGUGAAUACGUUCUCGGGUCUUGUACUCACCGCCCGUCACGUCAAGAGAGUUGGUAAUGCCCGAAGGCCCCGAUGAGGGGACUAAGGCAGGAUCAGCGAUAGGGACGAAGUCGUAACAAGGCAUCCGUAGCGGAAGCUGUGGAUG